AGUCUGGCCUGCCCAAUGAUUUUUGAAUGGCCGCAGUAUUUUGACUGUGCAAAGGUAGCAUAAUCAUUAGUUUUUUAAUUGAAAGCUGGAAUGAAAGGUUUGAUGAGAAAAUAACUGUCUCUGUGUAAAUGUUUUAGAACUUCAAUUUUAAGUGAAAAAGCUUAAAUUUUUUAUAAAGACGAGAAGACCCUAUAGAGUUUUAUAUUUGAUUAGAUAUAAAAGUUGUUGAAUUUAUUCUUUUAUUUUUAUUUAAGUAUUUUGUUGGGGCGAUGGAAAAAUUUGAUUAACUUUUUUUUGUUUUUAACAUUGAUUUAUGAUUACUUGAUCCUUUUUUUUGGAUUACAAGACUAAAUUACCUUAGGGAUAACAGCGUAAUUUUUUUUGGAGAGUUCUUAUCGAUAAAAAAGUUUGCGACCUCGAUGUUGGAUUAAAAUUAAAUUUCGGUGCAGAAGCU
rnacentral:rRNA from 1 species